GGACUUAACAAAUACCACAAUCAUUUUUAUCAUUGUAAUUAUUAUUACAGUUCUCUUAGGAAUAGUGAAGUGAACAUAAAAAAACACCUUGAGAGGGAUCAGAAUCAUGGGUAGAAGGCCUCUGGACUCACCCUCCACUGCCAUUCCCCCAGGGCGGUGCCAAAAAGCAGGGUCAGUGACAUCACAACACAACACAGACCAAGCCAACACAAACCACUGAUAAUCUAAGCUUCAGCGCCUCGACCUGGGAGACGGUCCAAUCCGGUCCCAACCCUGCCAUGGGCCCCGGGCCAGUGUGGUUGGUGGCCUUUUUUGUCCUGGGAGCAAGCCCAGCGGACGCCGGAGUCACCCAGACCCCCAGAUACCUGCUGGUCCGGACGGGGACGAAGGUGAUCCUGAGAUGUGCACAGAACAUGGCCCACGACGCCAUGUACUGGUAUCGGCAGGACCCGGGGCAGGGGCUGCGGCUGAUCCGUUUCUCCAGUGUCAAAGGCUCUACUGAGGAAGGAGACAUCCCACAGGGAUAUUUGGUCUCUCGAGAAGAGAAGGAGUUCUUCCCCCUGACCCUGGGUUCUGCGAACACGAACCAGUCGUCGCUGUAUUUCUGCGCGAGCAGUGUAACCACAGCGCUGCAGUGUCCCCUCCGACCCGUGCACGAACCUCCCCCGUCCGGGGGCAGGAAGCAGGAGGCCCGGAGGGGGCUGAAGGGCCACAGACCUGGCUCAGACUCUGACUUUCUGGACAAAGGCAGGACAACCUGGUCCCUGGAACCAGCUGGAGGACAGUGCCGGGCAAAGACACAAUCGAACCUGACUUACUGCAGUAGCAACUACAAAUAAUGAUAUCAAUCAUGAUGAUAAUGAUGAGGACAGCCACGAAAGAGAAGCAGCGUUGCUCAGUGGAAAGAGCACGGGCUUG